GAUGAAGAACGUAGCGAAAUGCGAUAAGUAAUGUGAAUUGCAGAAUUCAGUGAAUCAUCGAAUCUUUGAACGCAUCUUGCGCUCCUUGGUAUUCUGAGGAGCAUGCCUGUUUGAGUGUCAUUAAAUUCUCAACUACACUGACUUUGAAUUGGUGUGGCUUGGAUUUGGGGGGAAAAUUGUUGUGGGCUUUUUGUAUAGUCUGCUCCCCUGAAAUUGAUUAGCGGUACAUUUGUGGAACUGUCUACAGGUGUGAUAAUUAUCUACAUCUUAGACAUCUGCUGGAAUGCUGCUUUCUAAACCUUACUUGUAUUGACAAUCUUGACCUCAAAUCAGGUAGGACUACCCGCUGAACUUAAGCAUAUCAAUAAGCGGAGGA
rnacentral:misc_RNA from 1 species